rnacentral:tRNA from 1 species
UAGCUCAGUAGCUAAAGCAUCUGCCUGCAAUGUAGGAGACCUGGGUUCGAUUCCUGG